rnacentral:rRNA from 1 species
GACGAACGCUGGCGGCGUGCUUAACACAUGCAAGUCGAACGGAAAGGCCCUGCUUUUGUGGGGUGCUCGAGUGGCGAACGGGUGAGUAACACGUGAGUAACCUGCACUUGACUUUGUGAUAACUUCAGGAAACUGGGGCUCAUAUCGGAUAGGAGCUCCUGCUGCAUGGUGGGGGGUGGAAAGUUUCGGCGGUUGGGUAUGGACUCGCGGGUUAUCCGCUUGUUGGUGGGGGAGUGGCUUACCAAGGCUUUGACGGGUACGCUGCCUGAGAGGGUUACCGGCCACAUUGGGACUGAGAUACGGCCCAGACUCCUACGGGAGGCAGCAGUGGGGAAUAUUGCACAAUGGGCGGAAGCCUGAUGCAGCAACGCCGCGUGCGGGAUGACGGCCUUCGGGUUGUAAACCGCUUUCGCCUGUGACGAAGCGUGAGUGACGGUAAUGGGUAAAGAAGCACCGGCUAACUACGUG